rnacentral:rRNA from 1 species
CCUACGGGAGGCAGCAGUGGGGAAUAUUGCACAAUGGGGGAAACCCUGAUGCAGCGACGCCGCGUGAGUGAAGAAGUAAUUAGUUAUGUAAAGCUCUAUCAGUAGGGAAGAAAAUGACGGUACCUGAGUAAGAAGCUCUGGCUAACUACAUGCCAGCAGCCGUGGUAAUACGUAGGGGGCAAGCGUUAUCCGGAUUUACUGGGUGUAAAGGGAGAGUAGACGGCAGUGCAAGUCUGGAGUGAAAGGCGGGGGCUCAACCCUCGGACUGCUGUGGAAACUGUACGGCUGGAGUGCAGGAGAGGUAAGUGGAAUUCCUGGUGUAGCGGUGAAAUGCGUAGAUAUUACGAAGAACUCCAGUUGCGAAGGCAGCUUACUGGACUGUAACUGACGUUGAGGCUCGAAAGCGUGGGGAGCAAACAGGAUUAGAUACCCGGGUAGUC